rnacentral:lncRNA from 1 species
AAGUUCUGCUUUCUGUUCCCUGAUCAGGGACCAGAGAGGGGAAAAAUCUUCCUUUGAUCCUGACUCCCUAUUUUUUAUUUUUCCUCUUUCUUGAUCCCCUUGUCUACUUUUCAGAUUUGGCCUCACCUUGUAAGUGCUUCUUUUCUGAGGUCUAGGUAAGAAAGAUUGAGAUUCCAUCCGCACUAGACAAACCCAGCAGUCCUGAGCAGUCAAGACAGGUUAUGUUCCAGAAGGCCAGGGCGGUCAGUUCUGCUGCACAAAUGAGGUCAGAGCAAUCAAGAGAGCCAAGGAAGUCCUACUUAUCUGGAUUAAAUAACUCCAAACUACUCAACUUUAAUACAAGGUGGAAAAUAGGAUUUCAAAAGAAAAGAAGAAGGAGAAGAACAAGGACAAGAAACUGAGUUUUGGCAGAAGGCAAGUGAGCAAUUAAAAAUAAAUCUUUCAUGAUUUGCUCCCACAGGC